rnacentral:rRNA from 1 species
GGUAGUAUUAAAAUAAAAACCCAUAUAAAAUGGCGGUCAUAACAUAUUAGAGGAACUCGCUUUAUAAUCGUAAAUACCCGAUAAUUUUCACUUAAAUUCAUAUAGCUUAUAUACCGCCGUUACAGAUUAUAUUUAAUCACACAGAUCAUAAAAUACCAACAUUAAAAAUCAGGUCAAGGUGUAGUUAAUAAUUAAGAAAAAGUAAGUUACAAUAAACAUUAUUUAAGAAUUAAAUUCAGAAGAAUAAAUGAAAAAGAAUCUAACUUCAAAUUAAAAUUAAAAACUUAAAUAGAAUACAAAGUCAAUGACGC